GACGAACGCUGGCGGCGUGCCUAAUACAUGCAAGUAGAACGCACAGUUUAUACCGUAGCUUGCUACACCAUAGACUGUGAGUUGCGAACGGGUGAGUAACGCGUAGGUAACCUGCCUGGUAGCGGGGGAUAACUAUUGGAAACGAUAGCUAAUACCGCAUAAUAUUGAUUAUUGCAUGAUAAUUGAUUGAAAGAUGCUAUUGCAUCACUACCAGAUGGACCUGCGUUGUAUUAGCUAGUAGGUGAGGUAACGGCUCACCUAGGCGACGAUACAUAGCCGACCUGAGAGGGUGAUCGGCCACACUGGGACUGAGACACGGCCCAGACGCCUACGGGAGGCAGCAGUAGGGAAUCUUCGGCAAUGGACGAAAGUCUGACCGAGCAACGCCGCGUGAGUGAAGAAGGUUUUCGGAUCGUAAAGCUCUGUUGUAAGAGAAGAACGGGUGUGAGAGUGGAAAGUUCACACUGUGACGGUAUCUUACCAGAAAGGGACGGCUAACUACGUG
rnacentral:rRNA from 1 species